rnacentral:tRNA from 1 species
GAGGAUAUAGCUCAGUGGUAGAGUACAUGCUUAGCAUGCACGAGGUCCUGGGUUCAAUCUCCAGUACCCUCA